AUCUAACCCUUACACAGAUGACUGGAACCCAAUGUGCUCAAUUCCAAUCUAAGGUGCAAAAAAUCACCAUGCGCCAUUUCCAAAAUCUGCCGGAUUCCGUAAAUUCAGACGGACACUGUCACGUGUUUAUCGGUUCUAUAACGCCAAGGAAGUGGUUUCUCAUGCAUUCCCACUUUACGUUUCUCAGGUGGCAACACUUCUACAACAUUGUUUACAGUCACCACAAUAUAGAAGAACGUAACGGCUUAACACUAGCUACUAAAUUCUCUACAUACCAAAAGUUUAAUUGCAAAAGCUGAUAAGUAGGCACAUGUGAGAGUAAUCAGAGAGAGUUGUGCACGUGCAUACCAGUCUUAUUAAUGAGUUUAGCCUAUAUAUAGAGAGGAGAGAUUGUGGAGAGGGGAUCCUCCAUGAUCAACAUAGUGUGUUUGUUAGAUAAGAGUUGCGACUUUGUUCAUGGUGAUAAGAGAAGAGAAUUGUAACUCCGAUCUUAUCAGUUAGGGUUCAUAGUUUGUAUUAGAGAUUGAGAAGAGAUAAGAGAGAAGAGAUCGCAUCUUCAAACUUAUCAAAUGGUGCGUUUGUGAUCGAGAUCGAAGUAUCGCGGAAGGUUAGGGUUACGAAUUUGGGGAUUUUGUGUGAAGAAUCGAGGAAUCAAGAAACAAAGAUGGUUACGUCAAUUGGGUUAUCACCGGUGCGAGAACUAUCGGAGGAGGAACAACACGACGCGUCUUUAGCUGACGUCUACGAUCAAUUGGGCGAGGUGCGAAGCUUUGGAAGCAAGAUGAAGGAUCGAAUUGAGACGAUGGGUUCACAAAUGGGAUCAAAGAUCGAAUCGUUGGGAAACGAAUUGAGGAUUCGCGAUCAGAAAUUGGAGGAUCUUGGAAGGAAACUGGAUCUCGUCUUGAGUUCUUUACCCGGAAUUGAGACAGUUCGUGAAGUGGGUGGCUCAAGUCAAUCGGGACCAUCACAAUCACAAGAUUGUCACAAUCAGUGUUUGAUGGAAUUGGUGUGUACAGUUGGGUUGCUUGUGUUGAGCGGUUCUUUAGACACAUUGGGUAUAAUGAUGCAGAGAAGUUAGCACUGGGUUCUGUGAGCUUAAGUGAUGAGGCCUUGAGUUGGUACAACUGGGAAAUUAACAGAGGAAGACAGUUUGUGAGUUGGGUUCAGUUUAAAUCAGGAUUGAUGAGGAAAUUUGGGAACAUCAAGAUUAAAAGUACAUCAACGGUAGCUUCUGAUUCCAAAUUGAUUAUGCUAAAAGAAUCAAGUAACGAAGGCUCACACAAGGAGAAGAACCCCUCUGAAGAGAAGCAUUUGAUUCAGCAUGAAGACUCUGUUAGAGUGAAGACAUUAUGUCAGCACACAGGAAGUUAUUGGUGAAACAGAAUCGAGCUUAACCUUCUCAAUGAUUGAUUCUAGUCUCAAAAAAGAAUCAGUAACUUCAAGCUUGGCAACAAAUGGUGUUCUCCAAUCACAGAAAGUUGAGAAUUCAGUCUUGGAGGAUCAUCGAGAUGCAUCCUUGGAUCAAUAUCAGUCAUAACCUGAACUAGUUUCUGAUGCUUUACACUCUGGUUUUUGCAUCGAUAUAUUGAAAACUCAACAAGAAGGGAUAUUAGAAAUUUCAGAAUUGCUUAUGUGUUAUGAGAAGUCGUCAGAGGUCAAGACUAAGGAUGUUACAUUCCAACAGCUCAACAUAAUGUCUCUUCAAAGGCAUGAAUUACAUCAGCAGAGAGAUAGCGUGUGUUUAGUGGAUGAUUGGAAUUCUUUCUUUUCGGUUUGGCAUCGUUGGCGAAACAGGGAUUUGUAUUAGUUUUGCUGGCUGAAUCAGCAAUCUCUGCAACAAAUUGAGGAGUAUACAGUUGCUGAAGACCAUUACAUAUUCAUAAGAAGAAGGUAUAUCAAGCUGUUACGCCUACAACAAUAGGUAGCAGUUUUGUACACCUACGGGAAACAAAGACUAGGAUAUUUCAGUCAAUCUUCUCUACUAGUUGCUGCAACACUUUGGAGUACAAUGAUAAACCGGGGGAUUGAGUAUAAGUUUGACGCUGGAUUAAAACAGAAGUGUGUUGGCAACAUUACGACAAAACAGAGUUAUGAAAGGAAGUUUAUUGGCUUGUACUCAGCAUAUGGGGACAGGAACGUCUAUUAUUCUGUGUGGCAUUGUUGGAGAAAGAAGAAUCUGCAGCUCAUUAAUCUGAACAAUGGAUGUUAGCCACAAAGUCCGGACCUACACUUUCAUAUUGACGUAACCAUCUUUGUUUCUUGAUUCCUCGAUUCUUCACACAAAAACCCCAAAUUUGUAACCCUAACCUUCCGCGAUACUUCGAUCUCAAUCACAAACGCACCAUUUGAUAAGUUUGCAGAUGCGAUCUCUUCUCUCUUAUCUCUUCUCAAUCCCUAAUACAAACUAUGGACCCUAACUGAUAAGAUCAGAGUUACAGUUCUCCUCUCUUAUCACCAUGAACAGAGUCGCAGCUCUGAUCUAACAAACACACAAUGUUGAUCAUGCAGGAUCCCCUCUCCACAGUCUCUCCUCUCUAUUUAUAGGCUAAACUCAUUAAUAAGACUGUUAUGCAUGUGCACAACUCUCUCUGAUUACCCUCACAUGUGCCUACUUAUCAAAAGCCCACUUCUUUGCUUUCAAUUCUAUUCUCCCACCAAAUAUUGCCAUUCCAACUUAUCUAUCUGUACCUUCUUAUAAAUUUAUGAUUUGUGGAAGUCAUCGAUACAGUAUGUACUAUGUAGUAUAACUUGUUUAAGUAAUCAAACUAUGCUGAUUUUAACGUUCUA